AAAGUGUCGUACGCUACGGCGAUGGACUGGUUCAUCGCUGUGUGCUUCGCCUUU
rfam:Scleropages formosus scaffold7181, whole genome shotgun sequence.